rnacentral:rRNA from 1 species
AGCGAACGCUGGCGGCAGGCCUAAUACAUGCAAGUCGAGCGCCCUUUCGGGGGAGCGGCGGACGGGUGAGCAACGCGUGGGAAUGUGCCCUUUGGUACGGAACAACACAGGGAAACUUGUGCUAAUACCGUAUGUGCCCUUCGGGGGAAAGAUUUAUCGCCAUUGGAGCAGCCCGCGUUGGAUUAGGUAGUUGGUGAGGUAAAGGCUCACCAAGCCUACGAUCCAUAGCUGGUCUGAGAGGAUGAUCAGCCACACUGGGACUGAGACACGGCCCAGACUCCUACGGGAGGCAGCAGUAGGGAAUCUUGCGCAAUGGGCGAAAGCCUGACGCAGCCAUGCCGCGUGUAUGAUGAAGGUCUUAGGAUUGUAAAAUUCUUUCACCGGGGACGAUAAUGACGGUACCCGGAGAAGAAGCCCCGGCUAACUUCGUGCCAGCCGCCGCCGUAAAAC